AUGAUGUUGGAUGGAACAGCCCGCACUUGGUUGAAAGGAUUACCCCCCAAUUCCAUCGGCUCAUGGGCGGAGUUAAAAUCCCGGUUCAUUCAGAACUUCAAGGACACAUGUAAACAACAUAUGUCAAUCUUGGACCUGACUAAUUGUAAGCAAGAGGAAGGUGAGUCCACGACCCAUUGGGUGUGCCGGGUCAAGGAGAUAAUACAUUCGUCUGAUAAGAUGGAUGCCGGCUCAGCAGUCUUAAUGUUGGAGAAAAAUUGCCGUUUUGAACCUCUGAAGCAGAAGCUGGGGAGGCUCAAGCAUGACUGCAAUGACAUGGGCCAGUUGAUGGCGGCCCUGAUCAAAUAUGUUGAUUCUGAUAAUACCAAGGAUCCCGUGUCUAAUGAAGAAAAAACAGGAAGU
rnacentral:rRNA from 1 species